rnacentral:rRNA from 1 species
UUGAGCCUACGGGACGCAGCAGUGGGGAAUAUUGCACAAUGGGGGAAACCCUGAUGCAGCGACGCCGCGUGAGUGAAGAAGUAUUUCGGUAUGUAAACUUCUAUCAGCAGGGAAGAAAAUGACGGUACCUGACUAAGAAGCCCCGGCUAACUACGUGCCAGCAGCCGCGGUAAUACGUAGGGGGCAAGCGUUAUCCGGAUUUACUGGGUGUAAAGGGAGCGUAGGCGGUUUAGCAAGUCAGAAGUGAAAGCCCGGGGCUCAACUCCGGGACUGCUUUUGAAA